rnacentral:tRNA from 1 species
GCUCCAGUGGCGGAAUGGUAGACGCAGUUGACUCAAAAUCAACCGGUUAAGAGCUGUGCUGGUUCAAGUCCAGUCUGGAGCACCA